AAAAGCUGUGCAGCUCCCUCUCCCUCCCCUUUACUAUCUCUUCCAACCUAAUCCUAACCUCACUUAAUAGUUGUAGUUCCUUCUUAUCGACCUUCUCCCAUCUUUACUAAAUCCCUAUCUCUCUUGGUAGGGUUUGGUGCUCUCUUAUCCCUCUUUACUCCACCUCUCUGCUUCGUCUUCGUGCUUUCCCUAGGGAGUAUCUUCAUUAUCUUCCCUCAUUACUCUGUAUCUUAUCUACUGCGGUAGCUGCGGCUUCAUCUUUGGCGCAAAACCCCCAUUAAUUGAGGAGGUGUGCAAAUUGAAGGUAUUGUCGUGUCUCCUUCUCACCAAGUCUUGCGGAAGUGCGGUUCCUGGUGCAAAUCUUUCAUUAAUCAAGGUGAUCUCGCUCGGUGGGAGAGCAAUAUUAUUUCUUCAUUUUGCCUCUCUAUUUCAAUUAUUUUGGCACUUCGACUUGUCUACUCACAUCCAUUUAAUUCGGUUACCUCCUCUUACUAGUACCGGUGGGAGGGUUCUGCAGCAGAUAUGAGGGUGCUGCGUUGGUGCUGUGAAAGUAGAGGGUUCACGAUUCCUGAAGAGGGAAAGCGAUACCACCUGAGCCAAUUUGAUGGAAAUGCACGGGUGCGUAGCCAUCGAGGAUUACCAAAAAAUGUAUACAAUCAUAGGCAUACACAAUUGAGAAAUGUCGUAGGAAAGGCCUUCGGCAUUUUGAAGAGGCGUUUCAAGGUUUUUCGGCAAGCGACUUCUUUUCCUUACAAAGUGCAGUGUCGCAUCACCCUAGCAUGCUGUGUGAUUUAUAACUUUAUCAAGAGGCAUCAAGAAAAUGACAUGUACUUCAAUAUGCUGUUGGAACCAUUUUCUCUAGAUGAUCAAGAUGAGGAUCCAAUGCCUUUGGUUGGGGUAGAUGAUUCACGAUGCGUUGAUGCGCUUCUCACUAUGAUAAUGAAUUAGUUAUGAAA